UGGGGAAUAUUGCACAAUGGGCGAAAGCCUGAUGCAGCAACGCCGCGUGAGUGAUGAAGGUCUUCGGAUUGUAAAGCUCUGUCUUUUGGGACGAUAAUGACGGUACCAAAGGAGGAAGCCACGGCUAACUACGUGCCAGCAGCCGCGGUAAUACGUAGGUGGCGAGCGUUGUCCGGAUUUACUGGGCGUAAAGGGUGCGUAGGCGGAUGUUUAAGUGAGAUGUGAAAUACCCGGGCUUAACUUGGGUGCUGCAUUUCAAACUGGAUAUCUAGAGUGCAGGAGAGGAGAAUGGAAUUCCUAGUGUAGCGGUGAAAUGCGUAGAGAUUAGGAAGAACACCAGUGGCGAAGGCGAUUCUCUGGACUGUAACUGACGCUGAGGCACGAAAGCGUGGGUAGCAAACAGGAUUAGAUACCCUGGUAGUCCACGCCGUAAAACGAUGAGUACUAGGUGUAGGAGGUAUCGACCCCUUCUGUGCCGCAGUAAAACACAUUAAAGUACUCCGCCUGGGAAGUACGAUCGCAAGAUU
rnacentral:rRNA from 1 species